CUGCCAUGAUAUGUGUCUAGUCUGGGCACUCCCCAUAGCUCAGCAGAAAGUCCUUCCUUGAGGGGGUUGGGGGCACACCUCUUAUCUCUACACAGGUGGUAAUAGGAGGGGUAAUAGGUGGGGGAAAGAAGCCAUACAAGCAAGUAACAGCAUUAUCAGGCAGAUGGUGGCAAGCCAUUACAGAACUCCAUUAUCCCAUAACAUCGUGUGCUUUGCACAAACCAAGCAAGAGGAGGAGACGGGAGAAGCCUCACGGAAAAGAGAGAGUCAAUGUUGAAAAUUGGGAGUGCUUCUUGUUAGCCCCACUGACAUCAUUGGAGGGAUCAUUCAGCAGAAUUCUAAUAGCACAGACUCUGGGGCCUGCCUGCUUGGGUAAGCCUUAGGCUCUGCUUUGGUUCGAAUCUCAGCCCUUCACUUAUCAGCUGAGUGAUUUGGGAUGCAGUUGUGAUGGAAACUAAAUUUUAGUGCGACACUCCUACCAGAUGAGAUGAGCUGUUUGCGGAAGCACCACCACGUCUUAAUAGACUGGAGAUGCCACGAUUGUCCAAACUCUCGCCACGUCUCAGACUGUAUUCUCAGAAAGACAGGUUUGGCAUUAAGUAACAAUCAUUUAAAGUUCAUUUAACUUUUCACUCAGUUACUCACUCAGCAUCUAUGGGUCACCCGUCAGGUCUAGCAGAGGGUGGAAGAUGACCCCUAUGACUUGUGCAGGUGAGUCACUAAAAAAGAAGUGAGAAAAUAAACACCUGUCUGCUUUUACUCA
rnacentral:lncRNA from 13 species